AGGAGAGUUUGAUCCUGGCUCAGGACGAACGCUGGCGGCGUGCCUAACACAUGCAAGUCGAGGGGCAGCGCGGGGAGCAAUCCCUGGCGGCGACCGGCGGAAGGGUGCGUAACGCGUGAGCAACUUGCCCGUAUCUGGGACAUAACCGGUGGAAACGCCGACUAAUUUCCCAUAACAACAGAGAUCACAUGGUUUUUGUUUGAAAGCUUCGGUGGAUACGGAUGGGCUCGCGUGACAUUAGCUAGUUGGAGUGGUAACGGCACACCAAGGCGACGAUGUCUAGGGGUUCUGAGAGGAAGGUCCCCCACACUGGAACUGAGACACGGUCCAGACUCCUACGGGAGGCAGCAGUGAGGAAUAUUGGUCAAUGGGCGGAAGCCUGAACCAGCCAUGCCGCGUGCAGGAAUAAGGCCCUAUGGGUCGUAAACUGCUUUUGUGGUGGAGCAAUAAGAGCUACGUGUAGUUCGAUGAGAGUACAUCACGAAUAAGCAUCGGCUAACUCCGUGCCAGCAGCCGCGGUAAUACGGAGGAUGCGAGCGUUAUCCGGAUUUAUUGGGUUUAAAGGGUGCGUAGGCUGUUUGUCAAGUCAGGGGUGAAAUGCCGCGGCUUAACCGUGGAAUUGCCUUUGAUACUGGCAGGCUUGAAUACUGUUGCCGUGGGAGGAAUGAGUAGUGUAGCGGUGAAAUGCAUAGAUAUUACUCAGAACACCGAUUGCGAAGGCAUCUCACGAAACAGCGAUUGACGCUGAGGCACGAAAGCGUGGGGAUCAAACAGGAUUAGAUACCCUGGUAGUCCCCU
rnacentral:rRNA from 1 species